UAAUUCUCUCUCCUCCCUAUACUCAAACCCACAAGAAAUAACUUACAUCAUAUUUUCCACUCUUCUGUUCACGUGAAAAACUCAAACCCUCCUCUUUGCCUUUUUUUCGCACAUCACCACCACAACCGCCGCAGCGUCGCCGGCCAGUUCCUCCGCGGCGCCGCCCUACCACCAGCGAGCCUCACCCUUCUUUCACCCUCUCGUUCUUCCUUUCUAUUUUCUCCCCUUUUGCUUGCUGCUUGGCUUGCUUCUCUUGACAACCACCACAGUACCACCUCACAGCCGCCCUUGUCGCGCAGCGCCGCCGAGCCGCGGCCAACCUCCCUCAUUUCUCCUCCCACACGCAGAAUCAAUCCUCCUCUUCGUUGCUUUCUUGCUCCACAUGCACCACCAUUAGCACGAGUCGCAGCCACCCAGCGACCACCGGUGCACCACCUGAUUGUCGCCAGCCACCGCGCCGCCCAGUCCUUGCUGCCGCACUUGCACCACCGUCGGCCAUCACUCCCUCUUCUCUUCUCUUUUGUCUCCAAGGAUCAAUAAGCGUUGUCCAUCUACAGGUUCGAAGAUGAUGCAUCAUUGGGUUCGGGAUUGGAGAGCUUGUAGUUUAGUUGUAAUUUUCUAAGUUGGAUUUGGUUUGGUUUAAACGGACUUUAAACUUGUUGAAUUAGUUCGCUGACUUUGCUUUU